CAGGGCUCUAACACCUAAAGUGUCCAGUUUCAGGGAUUCAUCCUAAACGUGUUGGACAUCGGGGGCCAGAGGGAGAUCAGAUCCUACUGCAGGGACUGCUUUGAAGACACAGAUGUCCUGAUCUACGUCAUCGACAGCGUGGAUAAGAAGAGGUUCGAGGAAAUGGGGCAGGACGGCAUGAACUGGGUUUGCAAAAACCUCAACUCCAAGAAGAAGUAGCUCCUCUUCAUCUUCGUCUUGAGCGCAGGAAGGACACACUCACACUAUGACUGAGAGUGCACCCUGGGUCUGAGCAGGAAUAAAUAUAAUUUAUCAAAAGCAUUAGUAGAACUCAUAAAACUAUUAUUAGGCCAUACCAAACAGCAUUGCAAGAACUCAAAACAACUGGCUCAGGAACUAAAAACCGUCAAAGUACAAACCGAUGAAAUAUUAAUAUUUCACAAUGUAGUAUCCCUGUUCACAAAAACUCCCAUAAACGUCACCUUACACGUAGUCGGAAACCGCUUCCGGACAGAUAGAUCACUACACAAACGAACCAAUCCUACAGUAGAAGACAUAACCCGGCUCCUUCAUUUCAUUUCCACAUCCACAUACUUCAAAUACAAAGGAAAACUAGAAAAGCAGUCAGAGAGCGCAGACCUCCACCAAGGACUACCUCCAUUUUUUAUAUAAAUUGCGAUAAAAUCAGUCUUCUGGAUCAGCCUUUGGAAUAUGAAAGAGGAUCCCAUUGUCCAUCCCUGAGUCAAAUUUCAUGGGGUUUGGUCAAUAAUUAACCGAGAUAUUGAGAAACUAAUUUUUUGGCCCCAUUUACCACAAUGUUAACUAAAAUUUCAAAGUGAUCCAGAAUCCAGGAUUUCUUCCGGAUCACCCCCAAAAUGAAAUCAGUUCUUCCUUUUCACAUUUCCAACAAAUCCUGAAAAUUUCAUCAAAAUCGGUCCAUAACUUUUUGAGUUAUGUUGCUAACAGACAAACAAACAAACAAACAGACAAACGCUGGCAAAAACAUAACCUCCUUGGCGGAGGUAAAUAUAUGGGGGGACCCUUAUCUGCCAUCAUGAGUGGGUUCUUCAUGGAGGACCUGCAGGAGAACGCCAUAAGGACAGCACCAACGACAUGCGGACUCACUAUGUGGAGAAGAUACGUGGAAGACAUACUGGAAAAGAUUAAAAAUGGACACACACAAGAGCUAACAGACCACCUAAACACAAUAGACAGACACAAUUCACACACGAAGAAGAAACAAACAAUACCAUAAAUUUCCUGGACAUGAACAUCACACACAGGGAAGAUGGCAGCAUCAAAAUAAAAAUACACAGAAAACCAACUCACACUGACUAGUAUCUCUUACAGACAUCUGAACAUCUCACAGCCCACAAACUCUCAGUGGUAAGACAUUUGUUUGACAGAACCAAUAUCAUAACUGUUACGAACUGGCUCAGGGUUCCAACAAGGAGAGUCCACACAUGUUUAAAAAAGCACAAAAAUAGAUAUUUAUUUUAAAACAAGGUGCAACUAAAGUUGUGGCCGCACAGUGGAGAGGAGAGAAGAGGCUCCAGCAGCCAGUUUUAAAGGUGACGGGCCACACCCAC